rnacentral:rRNA from 1 species
UACAGAGGUCCCAAGCGUUGUUCGGAUUCAUUGGGCGUAAAGGGUGCGUAGGCGGCGCGGUAAGUCGGGUGUGAAAUCUCGGGGCUUAACUCCGAAACUGCAUUCGAUACUGCCGUGCUUGAGUUCGGGAGAGGUGAGUGGAACUGCGAGUGUAGAGGUGAAAUUCGUAGAUAUUCGCAAGAACACCAGUGGCGAAGGCGGCUCACUGGCCCGGUACUGACGCUGAGGUGCGAAAGCGUGGGGAGCAAACAGG